GACGAACGCUGGCGGCGUGCCUAAUACAUGCAAGUCGAACGCAGUGGGGACGGGAGAGUAACACGUGGGUAACCUCCCAUCAGAGGGGAUAACACUUGGAAACAGGUGCUAAACCGAUACUGAUGGAUGGACACGCGGUGCAUUAGCUAGUUGGUUAGGUAACGGCUCAACAGGGCCACGAUGCAUAGCCGACCUGAGAGGGUGCGCGGCGACACUGUGACUGAGACACGGCCCAGACUCCGACGGUAGGCAGCAGAAGGGAAUCUUCGGCAAAGGACGAAAGUCUUACCGAGCAACGCCGCUUGAGUGAAGAAGGUUUGCGGAUCGUAAAACUCUGUUGUUAGAGAAGCGGUAUCUAACCAGAAAGCCACGGCUAACUACGUGCCAGCAGCCGCGGUAAUAC
rnacentral:rRNA from 1 species